CCUACGGGUGGCAGCAGUGAGGAAUAUUGGUCAAUGGCCGAGAGGCUGAACCAGCCAAGUCGCGUGAGGGAAGACGGCCCUACGGGUUGUAAACCUCUUCUGUCGGGGAGCAAAGAGAGUCACGUGUGACUCAUUGAGAGUCCCCGAAGAAAAAGCAUCGGCUAACACCGUGCCAGCAGCCGCGGUAAUACGGAGGAUGCGAGCGUUAUCCGGAUUGAUGGGGUUUAAGGGGUGCGCAGGCGGAGGUGCAAGUCAGCGGUAAAAUUGCGGGGCUCAACCCCGUACUGCCGUUGAAACUGCAUCCCUUGAGUGCGCGAGAGGUAUGCGGAAUGCGUGGUGUAGCGGUGAAAUGCAUAGAUAUCACGAAGAACUCCGAUUGCGAAGGCAGCAUACCGGCGCGCAACUGACGCUGAUGCACGAAAGCGUGGGUAUCGAACAGGAUUAGAUACCCGUGUAGUC
rnacentral:rRNA from 1 species